CGUGGUGCGGCGACACGGGGGCCGCGCGUCCGGACGGCCGCCGCCGCCCAUUGUGUGCUGGCCCCGCAGCUGCACGCGCGGCCGCCUCCUGCCCCCGCCACGCCGACACAACCCCUCCCGGCUGGGCCCCCUCCGACGAGCGGCGCUUUCUACUGCGGCUCGGCCUCGGUACCCCGGGCCCGGCGGGGACCCCGAGCCCUGCUCCUCCGCGCCCCACACUCGGGCACACCUCUUCCGGCCAAGUGGUCGCCGGGUAACUCCCAAGUAGAGGCCACCUCUUCUAGGCGGAGACCCUCGGAGCUGGUCACACGCUGUGGGUGCCCAGGGGCCGAGGGCCUGGAAGGUGGUGCGAGGCCACGGGCUGCGCCAGUCACAGGUUCUGCCCUCCGGGCUCUACUCGCUGUCCCUGUGUGGGGCGGGGGUUUGGAUGAGAGCGCAGGUUGUGGUUAACUAGAGAGGGAGUCGGUGCAUCUCGCUUUUGCAGAAGUCACCGCGCUGGAGCACAACGGAAUGCAGAUGUGCAUCCUCCAGCUGUAGCGAGAGAGGGGGUACGUAGUGAGAACCGACGGCCUUUCUGCCUGUGAGUGAGAUGGUGGUAACAUGCGGUACUGCUGCCCCGGACUGUGCCAGCUUUGGCCGACCCUGAUGUGUCCUGAGCACAGCCUAACAGAGCCUUCCUUGCAAGCGCACGGUGCCUGUGGCACUCGCGAGCAAUCCCAGCAACUCUGGAGGCAGACGCAGACCCUUCUGCAAGUCAGAGGCCAGAGGCCAGCCUGAGCGACCAAGCAAGAACCUGUCCCCAAACAAAAAGUAAAGACUGGAGAUGAAGAUGGGUGAUAAAGCGCCCCUGGGUUCAAUCCCCGGGGUGUGUGUGUGUGUAUCCACAGAAUUUUUCUUCUAUCUAUUUAUUUAUUUUAUGUGGUGUUGAGGACCAAACCCAGUGCCUCACAUGUGCUUAGCAUGCGCUCCACUGCUGAGCCACAACCCCAGACCCUACUUUUUUCUGGGGGGUGCUGGGAUUGAACCCAGGGCCUUAUGCAUGUGAGGCAAGCACUCUACCAUCUGAGCUAUAUCACCAGCCCACAAGCCCAGACCCUAUAUCCAUAGAAUUCUUAUAUGGUAUCCUAGGAAUCACCUAGGAAUCUUACCAAUAUCCUUAUCCAGUACUUUUAUAUUUAAGUAUCUUUUUAAAAACUCCUUUAUGCCACCACAGGAAUGGACAGACUGCUGUUAACUCAUUUUUUUGCUUGUCUGUCUGUCUCUCUGACUUUCCAAGUAAUAAACACUUUGCUAUGUAGUAUACCCAGAUUAAACCUGGAACCCCUUGACCUGAGCUCCACCUCUUCCUGUCUAGAUGACUUGAAACAACUUAACCUCUUAUCUCAAUUUCCUCAUCUAUAUAAAGGGACCAUGUCUUCUACCUCUUCAAAGUUGUAAAGGUUAAAUGGAUAAAUAUAUUUAUAAGAUUCUCAGCACAUAGUAAUAUAUAUUAAGUACAAACUAUGUGUCUGGCACCAUUAUGAGUGUUUUAUGUCUGUUAUUUCCAAAUAUGUUCCACAGCUGUGCAGCCACCCAUGAAAGGAAAGUGACUGGCCCAAGAUCAUGCAGCAUACACCUCUUAGCACAGUGCUCAGACAAGAGCCAGUGUUUUUUUUUUUCCCCUCUCCUUGCAAUUUUUUGUUUUGCGGUGCUGGGGAUCCAACCUAGGGUCUCACACAUGCUGGGUAGGUGCUGUGCCACUAAGACACACCCCCAAACUUUAAUGUUUAUUUAUUUAUUUGUUUGUUUAUUUUGAAUUUUUUAAUAUUUAUUUUUUCGUUUUCAGCGGACACAACAUCUUUGUUUGUAUGUGGUGCUGAGGAUCGGACCCGGGCCGCACACAUGCCAGGCGAGCGCACUACUACUUGAGCCACAUCCCCAGCCCCUAAUGUUUAUUUAUUUGUUUUUGGUCCUGGAGAUUGAACCACCAAGCUACAUCUAAACCCUUUUUAUUUUUUAAUUUUGUGACAGGGUCUCACUAAGUUGCUGAGGCUGCGCUCGAACUUGCCUCAGCUUCUCAAGUAGUGGGAUUACUUGUGUGAGCCACCAGGCCCAGCUAAUGUUCAUUCAUGAAUGGCCUUACAAUUCUUUUUUUUUUUUUUUUUUUAAAUAUUGUUAGUUGUUAUUUAUUUUUAAGUGGUGCUGAGGAUGGAACCCAGUGCCUCACAGGAGCUAGGUAAGUGCUGUACCACUGAGCUACAACCCCAGCCCUGGCCUUACAAUUCUUUUAAAAAAAAAAAAAAUUUUAUUUUUUAGUUGUAGGUGGACACAAUACCUUUAUGUUAUUUUUUUUAAGAGAGAGAGAGAAUUUUAAUAUUUAUUUUUUAGUUUUCGGCGGACAUAACAUCUUUCUUUGUAUGUGGUGCUGAGGAUCGAACCCAGGCCGCACGCAUGCCAGGCGAGCGCAUUACCACUUGAGCCAUAUCCCCAGCCCUUUAUUUAUUUAUUUUUAUGUGGUGCUGAGGAUUGAACCCAGGGCCUCUCAGGUGCUGUACGAGUGCUCUACCACUGAGCCACAGUCCCAGCCCCGUGGGUGACAUCCUUGGAGGACAGGAACCAGGUUGAUGGAGUCAUGGUGUCCUCCCGAGGGGGGAAUGGGGUCAUUUGUCCUUAGUGAUGGAAAAGAAGGGAAGGCUUCUAGGAAGGCUGAGGUUUUCUCAGUUAGGACCUUCCAUGGGUCACUCUCCCCUCUUGGCUUAUCCCCCUUCCCACCCAGCCAGCACCCAAGGCACAAUCCUGGAUCAUCCUGUCUGUGGAACUCCCCUCUUUGGUCUCCGGCAUACAACCCAUCUCCUACCCAGGAUCCAGAGGAUUGACAGCAACUCCAGAAAGUUCCAAAACAUUGUGUGACAGGGGCUCACUUGAUACUUUGUGUCCUUGUGGCUUUGAAACUGACACGUUUUUUUCUUUUUCCCAAUCUUUUCCCUAAACUUCUCUUUCCUGAUCUUUUUUCCCUUAUCUUCUUCCUGACCUCCUCCCUGAUCUUCUUUUUUCCUGACCUUCUCCUCCCUGAUCUCUCCUCCCAAAUCUCAUUUUCUCUGAAUGACCUCUAUAAAAGCCCCCUGUUCCUGUGGAUGGGCAGAAUCACAGCCUUUGGGACAGAAGUGUCCCCUGUGUUUUUUCUUUGCUAGCAAAGCAAUAAACCUUUUUCCUUUUUCUCAAAACUAUGUCCUCAUUAUUGGAUUGGCAUUGGGGACAAGGACUGGGCUUUCAGCAAUAAUUGCACCUGCGCCCUUGGCCAAGUUGAAUGUCCAACCCCUCCUGAGGUUAUCCUCAGGGGGGUGGAUUCUGAUUUGUUCCCUAACCCCUCCCUGGAUAUAUUCUACCCUUCCCUGUGCCCUUGAGCCUCGGUCUGGAAGGACCAGCUCAGAGCUCUGUGUCUGAACAACCUUUGGUGUGACCAAGCCUGUGGGUUGGUGUUUCUCAUGCUCUCCAAGCCACCUACUGUAGACAUGUGCUACAUAAUGAUGUUCCUGUCAACUGGGCCACAUGCAUAUGUCAUGACAAUUCCAUCAGAUUAGAGCUGAAAGACUCCUGUCAGCUGGUGACCCUGUUGCAGUUGCCACGUUGUGACAAAACUCAUCGCUCACAUGUUUGUGGUGAUGCUGGUGUAAGCAGACCUGGGCGGUUACAAAAGUAGAGCACACACAGUUAUGUAGACUAUACAGCAGCUCCCAGAUGACAAUGAGCCAUUGUGUCACUGGUUUAUUUAAUGCACUCUUUAACCCUUCCCUGGGAUGGAGUGACUGACAGCACUGGCUAGGUUUGUGCAGAUGCACUUUAUGUUGUUUGUUCAGUGACAAAAUCAGCUCACAGGUGUUUCUCAGAAUGUGUCCCCAUCAUUAAGUGAUACAUGACUACCAUCUGGGUGACCUCAAGCAAGUUGCUUAAUCUCCCGGUUCUUUGUCUAUAAAUAAUACUCCAUAAGUAAUAGUCAUUGCAAUACUGGUUUUGGGGACUUAUGCUGUUUUAAAAGUUCUGAAAUGUUGGUAUUUUGUUGAUAUAAUAUUGCUAAUUUAUUACCUAAAAAUAACCUGGAAUAUGUUUUAUGUUUAUGUUCAGAUUAAGAUCAACAAUUUGGACUCAAUUUAUGUGAAAAUACUCAGUGUUACUCCACAAAUCUAUUCAGAUCCGCCCCUGUGCAAAACAUCCAUAUUGAGCUACUGCAGAGCUUCUGUUAAAGCAUGAGUGUUAUUCUAGGCCAAGGGCUUUUGAAACAAAUGAGUAUGGAUAUGAGAAAAAUGGAAAUUGACCCACGGAAACUGCAUCUCUACUCGGUGAACAUAAAGAAGAGAAAAAGUUUUAAAUAUACUUUCUUGGAGGACAAAACAAUAUGCAGUUCAUUAGCUCAAAAACUGUGCAGAAAAAGUAAAAUAAAAAUGUGUGCAU
rnacentral:lncRNA from 1 species